AGUAGCCAACAAAUCAGGCAAGUUCCUAACUCAACUUGAGUUACUAUUUUUCAAGCAUGGUAGUGAAUAAUUAUUGAUAGUUAUUCACAUCUAUAAUGAUUGUUGUAAUUCGCACAUAGUGCAAUUGAUUUUUGUUCAAUUAUUUGAACUAUUUAUAAAUCAUGUCUCAGCUAAUUGUUUUGGCCGGACUAAUAUUUGUUAAAGCAUGAAAUUUUCUAUUAAUUAUGAACUGAAUUGUUAUUGGAAGAUCUAUGCCAUUGGUUUCAGCUAGAUUAAUAUUGUUAUUAAUUAUUGAAAUCAUAGUAUUUCUUUGAAAGUAAUCCAAACCAUAUUGUUGUGGUACGGACUCGUGAUUUAAGACUGAGAUGAACAAAUUUUAAUGUUGUAAAUCGACUUAUGCGCUAUUAUUGAGUAUUAUGCAUAAUAUAGGGUACAAAGGAGUUGGCCGCUCCAGGUACUUCCAGAAGAGUAUAAUUUAGUUUUUAUAACUAAUUUAUAUUCUUGUGGAAAUUUAGUUUUAUUAACUAAAUGAUUCCUCUAUUAGUUCAUGAUCCUUUUAUGAUCACUCAACAUGAAAUCUUGGUAUAUCCCACUUUAUUGAAUAUUAUUGCAGUAUUGUUAAUUCUUCUUAUUCAAUUAAAUAUUAUUGAAUCUUUGAAAGAAUUUUACUCUUUCAUCUCUGAUAUGUUAUUCAGUAGGAAAUGGGAAAUUUUUUUUAUUAUUGAGAUUGUAUUAUUAUUCGGCUACUUUGAAAUCUUUUGAUUAUUGUUGAAGUUCUAUAGAAGCUAGACUCUUAUAUUCAUGAUAUAUAUCAUUUAUUGUAUAUUUUAACUCGCUGGGAAAACUCGUUGCUCACCCUUUCUUAAAUAAAACAUUUCAGCUAUUGCUGAUGUAGCAGAAGGUUCUAACAGGGACAACGGCAAAGGCAAGGUUCAGGAGUAGUUAGUGUCAACUUUUGAUGGUUAUGUUUUAUUAUGUAAUUAUGUAUGUAAACCUUUUGGUUAUAUAAGGGUAUGUAAGUUAUGUGAAGGUUAGUUAACCUGGGAUAUUGUUGGAAGUUGUAUUAAGGAAUAUUAUGAAUGAUGUUUUUCAUUAAUGAAUGAGUAGUUAGAUGUGAUAUAUAUGAUGGAUUGUGAGCACCAAACCCGAGGAUUAGGGAACCCGGAUUUGGGGGUGUCACAAGUUGGUAUCAAAGUUGUAGGUUAUAAACCUUAGGUGGGGAGGAAAGCCUUAGGAAUAUAACCAUAAACAGGAUAGAGAAAACUCGUUUAGAGUUCUAAGUGAUGGAUUAGGAAAAUUCAUAAAUAGUAAUAUAUUGGGACACUUAGUGUUUAUGGAUUAUGUUUGAUAGUGAUGUAUUAAUGAAGUUAUUUAAAACUGGUAACAGGAUGUCAGGAGAUGAUAAGAUGAUUACGGAAAUGUUAGCAGCUGCACCAAUGCCAUUAGCUGAGGUGCCAGCUCAGAGUGAGUCAGUCGAGGAAGUUUUAAGAGACGAACUUGCGGUAAAUCUAGCAAGUGAUCAUGACGAGUACCCCGAGAUGGAGCUGGAUGAAGAGGAAGAAGUAUAUUCCAAAGAAACUAAAAUGGAGCCAAAAAUAAAGAUCAAAGAUGGGGAAUAAGGCAAAGUAGCAAUCAAAGAAGGUCAAGCAUCUGCGGAAGAUUAAGAUUUUAGGACUAAAGUACUUCUCCUAGAGGAAUUAUGGAAGACAGAAAGAGCAUUAUGUGAGAUGACAGAAGAACGAAAUAAUCUAAAGGCACAAGUCGAUAGAAUGAGGGUUAAGUGUAAUGUAUCAUCUAAAGAUGUAAGUGAGAAAAAGAAGGGUAAUAAAAGGAAAAAGAACAACGAUAGUGACAACAACUCGGAGAAUUCGCCAAGCAUGUGGCAAGUGUGGAAAGAACCAUUCGGGGGAAUGUAUGUGGGGUAAGAAUGUGUGUUACAAUUGUGGUCAAGAAGGACAUCUAUCACCAAAUUGUCCUAAACCAAAGAAAGGAGGAUGUUUUGCAUGUGGUGGAAUGUGUCAUAAGGUUAAGAAUUGUCCUGAAAAGAAGACAGGUGAAGGAAGUGGACGUAAGAAAGAUUAAGUGUGAGGAGUAUAAUAUUUUGGGAGUAUAAUAUUCUCUUUGGUAUUGAUAUUAAAAUAACUUUUGUAUGUCUCAACUUUUUGUGUAAAGUUAUAGUAAUGAAUCCCGACUUUUGUCAGAAAGGGAUAUUAACCGUUUGUAGCUGUAUGUACUAUGUACUAUUUGCAUAAAUCUAAAUGCAACGAUAUGAUUAUGUGUUUGAAUAAGUAAUUAAAUUCUGAGAAUUAAAUUAUUAAGAUGAUUAUCUGAUGAAUUUGAUAAUUCAAUAAGCUGAAUUAGAUAAUCCAGAAAGCUGAAAUUGGUAUAAGUUUAAAAUUUUGUAUACUACUAAUAAGAUGUUGCAUAAAGAAAAAGUUUUAAUGUAAGUAUUUAUUUCAUCAGAUAAUGCCGCCAAGGCGACAAAAUCGUAACCAAAGGGAGGAGCGGUCUGUGAAUAAUGAAGGAAAUCAAGAUGAUCCAAUGUAGAACUUCGCAGACAUGAUAGCUCAAGCUAUGCAAACUAGAGCCCGGUAGCAGGAAAUCGACCAGCUAAUCCAUUGGCUAACUUUAAAGACUUUAAGGCCGUAAGACCGCCGGAAUUCAAGGGAACCACUGACCCUAUAGAAGCCCAGACAUGGGUAAAGGAGAUGGAGAAAGCUUUUGUUAUUGCUAGAGUGGCGGAGGAGCAAAAGACAGAUUUUGCUACCUAUUUGAUGAAGGGUGAGGCGAAUUACUGGUGGGAGACAAACAAAGCUAGAGCUGGUACAGAAGUAGUAACCUAGACAAGGUUUAAGGAAUUAUUUUUCAAAAAUUAUUUCUCAGAAAGUAUGCAAGCAAGAAUGGAAGUAAACUUUUUGGAGUUGAAGCAGGAGAAUAUGUCGGUUAUAGAAUAUGCCGCCAAAUUUAACGAACUAGCGAGAUUUUCUCCGCAUCAGGUGGACACUGAGGUACAAAAAGCGCGAAGGUUUGAGAAUGGACUGAAGCCAGAGAUAUAUAACAAGGUAGCUGUGUUGCAGAUUAAGACAUUUUUGGCCCUGUUGGAAAAAGCAAUCAUCGCCGAAGGAGGAAGUGAAGCUGUGUCGAGGUAUCAUUAAGAGAAGAAGAAAAAGACGAAUGAAGGAGGUAGCAGUGGAGGAAGUAACUCUAAUAAGCGUAAGUGGAAGGACAAUACUGAAUCUGGAGACAAGUCAGGAGAUAAUAGGAAGAAACAUGAGGCAUGUGCAGAUUGCGGUAAAAAGCAUUCAGGAGUACGUUUGAAGGGAAAAGGAGUGCGUUUUAACUGUGGACAAGAGGGACACAUCUCUCCAAAUUGUCCAAGUCCAAAGAAGAUACCAGGUUGUUUUUCAUGUGGAUCGCUAAAACAUCAAAUUCGUAACUGUGCAAAGAAGAAUGCAGAAAGAGGAAGCAACAAUAGAGGAAACAGCAGUGGAACACUGGGGAUCAAAGGACCUGCUCAGCCGGAAAGACCGACAGCGCGUAUGUUCAACAUGACAUUACAAAAUGUUGUAGCUGCCCGGGAGGUGGUGACAGGUAAAUAUUUAGUUGAGUAAAUGAAUUACGCGAGAAAUAUUGGGUAGAUAUAGCUGUGAAUAGUUUUCUUUUAUAGAUCCAAGGUCAUAAAUUAGUAUAUGAAACAAAAAUUAAUAUUGUGUUGAUAUAAAUGAAUUGAUGAUACAACUUUAAAGGACAUUAGAGAGUAAGAAAUGGGUGAUUCCGAGGACAGAAUCCUUAUAAGGAGGGGAGAAUGUGAGAACCAAGAAUUUCACAUAAUUCAAAUUUUUGGAAUAAAUUUUUUUUUUAGAAAAAUAAUAAAGAAAGUACUUGAAUCAUAUAAGUUUAUAUGAUAAUUAAGCUAGAUAGUUAAUUUAUUAACUAAGAAGUAUAGUUAAUCAUUCUCAAGGAAGAGUAAUGAAAGUUAUGUAAGAAAUUAACAUAGCUUGAAUGUUAGCCUUGAUUAUUAAAUUAAAAGGAUUUACAAUCCUUAAGUAAUUGAUGAUUGAUAUGAGUAUGUAUGUGUUUAUAACUUAUUAAGUCAAUUUGGGCUAAUAAGUUAAUAAACUAGGGGAAAUAUGUUAGGACAUAUGUGAGUUAUGUACGUGAUUGAGUAAAUAUGUAUUAUAUAAUGUGUAUACAUUUAUUUUGUAAAGAGAUGAAGAAUAAAGUUAUGUAGCCUAAUACAUAUAUUAGGUAUGAUAAUUAAAUAACCUAAUGUGUUAUAAUUUAAGAGAAUGAUAGUAUUUAAAAAUAUAUACUAAUCCUAAGAGAUUUAUUUGAUACAUCUCAAUUAAUUAAUCUUAUAACCUAAAGAAAAGCAAGUCUAAUUGGGUUAUGAAAUUAAAAAUAUAUGAGUAAGAAAUUAACUUGCUAAUGUGUGUAAUAGAACCUUAAUUAAAUAGUGGGGAAUGGAUAAAUUAAUAAGUAUAGAACUAUGUUGAUUUGCAAGUCCAUAGAAUUAAAAUUACUAGCCCAAAGAAUUAAAGGAGUGACCCAACCUUUAGCCCAAGUGGGAGGGGACAUGUUGGACAUUUAUUAAGGUAAUUAAAGCAUAAAAUGAAAACAAUUUUGGACAAUAGAAAGGCCACUUGGCCGAAAUUUAGAGAGGAGAGAAAGGGGGGAAGAAUGUAAUGAUUGCUUACUUUAAUAGGUGGACAACUUCCAACAAGUGUCCAAUUUUCAGUUGACCAACACUUUAUCUAAACUUGCAAGCAAACACUUGGUAAUUGAGUGGGAGAGAGAAGAGUUAGAUAUGUUGGUAGAUUAGGGAUAGAUAUACCAAAUAUAUCUAUACUUACUUUUCCAACAAACCAAAAUCUAAGUCUUAUCUUUUUUGUUUCAUCUUAUAUCUAGAAAAAGCUAAGAAAGAAAGAGAGAGACUAGAGAAGAGAGAGAGAAAGUCUAGGAGUUCGGCUAUAGAGAGAGAGGGAGAGAGGGAGAGAGGUAGAGUUUUUGCAAGCCAUCUUGCUCCAUAAUCAAAGUUUAGAAAGAAGGAAAAUGAAAAUCAAGCAAAGGUAUAACAAAAUUUCUACUUAUGUAGUCUAAUUUCCUUUUUAGUUUGAUUUGAUUUUUUUUAUAAUUUGAAGUUUUGAUCUUGAGGUUUAAAACCUUAGAUCUAGGUGUAUAUAAGUGUUUCAUGUUUAGAUCUAACCCUUUUGAGGAUCAAAAGUUAAAUCUAAAGUAUGAGAUAAAAACUAGGUUUUUCAAAAUGUAGAGAACCUAAUUUUUAUUAGCCUUGAUGGUGUUUAAUUUUGUGUUAGAUGUUUGAUUGAUGAAAUAGAUCAUGUAUUAUGGUAGAUUCAUGGGUAUAUGGAGUAUGAGUAGGUAGUAUGAUGAGUUAUGUUGGUUAUUAUGUGAGAACAUAGAAGUUUUUUUAGAAACCACAAAGGGUGGAAAAUCAGAUUUUUGUGAAAACGAAACAUGAAAUUCAAAUGACCAUAUCUCCUAUUAUAUUUCGAAUUUUUGAGUGUGGUCAAGUCCUAGAGUUAGAUCUAUUGGUUUUCUAAUUUAUCCAAGUGGAAUUACUUAAAAAGGAUAUACACAUUUUCAUGUGGAAUGAUUUUAGUAAAGGAUGAAAAAUCUGGAAAUGCUUAAAAGGCUGAUGCGAAGAAAUUGGAAGGGCUGUUUUGGCCACUUAUUUAAUGAGAUAAAAUCCAGUCUUUUGAGGGAUGAAAAUUUAAGUGAUAAAGUAGGUUGUGUCAAAAAAUGAGCUCAUUCCGACUUAAAAUGACCAAGUUAUGACCAAUUCAAUAUUUGGGUAUUUUGGACGAAAAUUGCUAUAACCGGAGUUCUAUAACUCCGAUGGCCACGAAAUUUAAACUGGAGGCUCAUGUUAACACACAUAAGAUUAUGUCAAGAGAUGAGAAUUUUUGGAGUUAAGCACGAGGUAGCUAAUUUCUUAAGGAAUUAACUAAGAAUGAUUUUUAAAAAAAUACUAAAGGAAGUUGGAAAAUUAUCGAAAAAUACUUUUUGUAUAUGAAAUAUAUGUAUAUAUAUUUGGACAAAGGAUAGAAAAAUAAUAAGCUGAUUUGGUGUUUUCGUGAAAAGGAUAUGGAAUCCAGCUUGCUGGAUUAAAAAAUCGGAUGAAUCCAGCUUGCUGAAUUGAAAAGAAGUUUAUUGAAUUGAAAAUAUUUUGAAUCCAGCUUGCUAGAUUGCAAUCUAGUUGUUGGAUUUGGAAUCCAGUUUGCUGGAUUGCAGUUUGGAUUGCUGGAUUUGAAAUCCAGGUUGCUGGAUUAGUAUUUGACUUAUGAGAUAUUAAAGAAGAACUUAUAAUAUAUAAGAUUAGAGUGUUAAAACAUAAUGUAUAUGAUAUAGAGAUUAAAGAAUUAGCAAAGGAUGAUAAUAAUACUAAUAUUAUAAGGUGUUAUCUAAUAUUUUAUUAUAUGUUUUAGUGUUAGAUAAUUGAUUGAUAAAAUAGUUGUACUAUGAUACAAAGUAUGAUAUGCUGAUUAAAAGACCAAUCAUAUUAAUUAUAGGUAUUACAAAAGAAGUUAACUUAAAUUGCGUAGCAGUAGUCAACAAAUCAGGCAAGUUCCUAACUCAACUUGAGUUACUAUUUUGAAAGCAUGGUAGUGAAUAAUUAUUGAUAGUUAUUCACAUCUAUAAUGAUUGUUGUAAUUCGCACGUAGUGCAAUUGAUUCUUGUUCUAUUAUUUGAACUAUUUAUAAAUCAUGUCUCAGCUAAUUGUUUUGGCAAGACUAAUAUUUGUUAAAGCAUGAAAUGUUCUAUUAAUUAUGAACUGAAUUGUUAUUGGAAGAUCUAUGCCAUUGGUUUCGGCUAGAUUAGUAUUGUUAUUAAUUAUUGAAAUCAUAGUAUUUCUUUGAAAGUAAUCCAAACCAUAUUGUUGUGGUACGGACUCGUGAUGUAAGACUGAGAUGAACAAAUUUUAAUGUCGUAAAUCGACCUAUGCGCUAUUAUUGAGUAUUAUGCAUAAUAUAGGGUACAAAGGAGUUGGCCGCUCCAGGUACUUGCAGAAGAGUAUAGUUUAGUUUUUAUAACUAAUUUAUAUUCUUGUGGAAAUUUAGUUUUAAUAACUAAAUGAUUCCUCUAUUAGUUCAUGAUCCUUUUUUGAUCACUCAACAUGAAAUCUGGGUAUAUCCCACUUUAUUGAAUAUUGUUGCAGUAUUGUUAAUUCUUUUUAUUCAAUUGAAUAGUAUUGAAUCUUUGAAAGAAUUUUACUCUUUCAUCUCUGAUAUGUUAUUUAGUAGGAAAUGGGAAAAAAGUUUUAUUAUUGAGAUUAUAUUAUUAUUCAGCUACUUUGAAAUCUUUUGAUUAUUGUUGAAGUUCUAUAGAAGCUAGACUCUUCUAUUCAUGAUAUAUAUCAUUUAUUGUAUAUUUUAACUUGCUGGGAAAACUCGUUGCUCACCCUUGCUUAAAUAAAACAUUUCAGCUAUUGCUGAUGUAGCAGAAGGUUCUAACAGGGACAAAAGCAAAGGCAAGGUUCAGGAGUAGUUAGUGUCAACUUUUGAUGGUUAUGUUUUAUUAUGUAAUUAUGAAUGUAAACCUUUUGGUUAUAUAAGGGUAUGUAAGUUAUGUCAAGGUUAGUUAACCUGGGAUAUUGUUAUAAGUUGUAUU
rnacentral:lncRNA from 1 species